rnacentral:rRNA from 1 species
UGGGGAAUAUUGCACAAUGGGGGAAACCCUGAUGCAGCGACGCCGCGUGAACGAAGAAGGUAUUCGUAUCGUAAAGUUCUGUCCUAUGGGAAGAUAAUGACAGUACCAUAGAAGAAAGCUCCGGCUAAAUACGUGCCAGCAGCCGCGGUAAUACGUAUAGAGCGAGCGUUGUCCGGAAUUAUUGGGCGUAAAGGGUACGCAGGCGGUUUAAUAAGUCGAAUGUUAAAGAUCGGGGCUCAACCCCGUAAAGCAUUGGAAACUGAUAAACUUGAGUAGUGGAGAGGAAAGUGGAAUUCCUAGUGUAGUGGUGAAAUACGUAGAUAUUAGGAGGAAUACCAGUAGCGAAGGCGACUUUCUGGACACAAACUGACGCUGAGGUACGAAAGCGUGGGGAGCAAACAGG